rnacentral:rRNA from 1 species
CCUGACCUCGAUUCGAACGUGAUUACCCGCUGAACUUAAGCA